AUCCGGCCGUGUCAAUACUGCCCCCUAGCCCUAACAGGUUAACUAAUUAUGUGACUUCUGAAGGUAAUUGGUUGCACCAUAUCUUAUUUAGGGGCUUCAUAGCAAAGGGGGUAAAAAUAUAUGCACGCAUCACUUUUCCAUUAUUUAUUUCUUAGUUACAUUUUUUGAAACAAGUUAUUUUUUCAUUUCACUUCACAUAUUUGGAUUAUUUUGUUUAUGUCCAUUACAUGAAAUCAAAUAAAAAUACAUUUCAAAUGCAGGUUCUAAUGCAACAAAAUUGGAAAAACGCCAAGGGGGUGAAUACUUUUGCAAGGCACUGUAUUAGGGCAGUAUGCAAAUUGGUGUGGGUCCAGGGUUUCUGGGAUAAUGUUGUUGAUGUGAGCCAUGACCAGCCUUUCAAAGCACUUCAUGGCUACAGACAUGAGUGCUACGGGUCGGAAGUCAUUAAGAAGGUUACCUUAGUGUUCUUGGGCACAGGGACUGUUGUUGUCUGCUUAAAACAUGUUGGUAUUACAGACUCAGACAGGGAGAGGUUGAAAAUGUCAGUGAAAACACUUGCCAGUUGGUCAACGCACGUCCUGGUAAUCCGUGAAUGUUGACCUGUUUAAAGGUCUUACUCACAUUGGGUGCGGAGACCGUGAACACACUCUUCCGGAAGAGCUGGGGCUCUCAGCUGUUCCAGUAAAUACAGUAAAUUAGCUUCAACUGGUGGGGGUAUUUCUACACACCCCGUUUAACCAUACUCUAGGUUUAUCUGUAUUUCUACACACCCCAUUUAGCCAUACCCUAAGUUUAGCUGUAUUUCUACACACCCCAUUUAGCCAUACCCUAGGUUUAUCUGUAUUUCUACACAGCCCAUUUAGCCAUACCCUAGGUUUAUCUGUAUUUCUACACACCCCAUUUAGCCAUACCCUAGGUUUAGCUGUAUUUCUACACACCCCAUUUAGCCAUACCCUAGGUUUAGCUGUAUUUAUACACACCCCAUUUAGCCAUACCCUAGGUUUAUCUGUAUUUAUACACACCCCAUUUAGCCAUAUCCUAGGUUAAUCUGUAUUUCUACACACCCCAUUUAGCCAUACCCUAGGUUUAUCUGUAUUUCUACACACCCCAUUUAGCCAUACCCUAGGUUUAGCUGUAUUUCUACACACCCCAUUUAGCCAUACCCUAGGUUUAGCUGUAUUUAUACACACCCCAUUUAGCCAUACCCUAGCUUUAGCUGUAUUUAUACACACCCCAUUUAGCCAUUCCCUAGCUUUAGCUGUAUUUAUACAUACCCCAUUUAGCCAUACCCUAGGUUUAGCUGUAUUUCUACACACCCCAUUUAGCCAUUGUAACGGCCGUCGUUCAAAUGAGACCAAGGUGCAGCGGAGGAUGUGUUCAUCAUGAAAGGAUUUAAUGAUCAACGAACACUAUACAAAAGAAACCAAAAAAACGACUAGCAACAGUUCUGUCAGGAACACACUAAACAGAAAACAAUCACCCACAAAAACCCAAAGGAAAACAGGCUACUUAUGUGUGACUCCCAAUCAGCAACAACGAACUACAGCUGUGCCUGAUUGGGAGCCACGCACGGCCCAAAACAAAGAAAUACAAAAACAUAGAAAAAUGAACAUAGAACGCCCACCCAAUGUAACACCCUGGCCUAACCAAAAUAAAGAACAAAAACCCCUCUCUAUGGCCAGGGCGUUACAGCCAUACCCUAGGUUUAGCUGUAUUUCUACACACCCCAUUUAGCCAUACCCAGGAUUAGCUGUAUUUCUACACACCCCAUUCAGCCAUACCCAGGAUUAGCUGUAUUUCCACACCCCCAAAACCUCUUCCUGUGGCUAUGGGACAGAGGAGGAGAGAGAGGGAGAUGUCAACAGAGAUAGGUCUGACAGACUAACAUGCAGUCAACUGAAUAUAUUUUCAUUAUUGACUUCUCACCAGUGAUGUCAUCAUAACCAGUAACCUUUUCCACUCUUCCACUCUUGGUCCGGCUCAGCUUGACACUGACCGAUGAAAUGUAUGAUUUAAAAAACAGACGAAGCAGAUGUAUUAAAUGAUAUAUAUACUCAUCUGCAAAUAGAGGUUCACAUGGAAGGGGAAUGUGUGUACACAUGGGUGUUGUUGCACCAUACCAACGAUAAGCCUGUCUUCCCCAUCACAUCAUGAAAGGUCAUGUUGAUGUUCAUUUCACCUCUGCCUCUGUCUUCCUCUUACUCCUCCCUUUCUCCUUUGUUUCUCUCUGUCUCUCUGUCUCUUUCUCUCUUUUUCUCCUCUGCCUUUCUCUUUCUCCUCAGAUCUCCAGGCUCAAAGUGACAGUCUACCAGGUAGGUAGAGUAUAAAUC
rnacentral:lncRNA from 1 species